CCUACGGGAGGCAGCAGUGAGGAAUAUUGGUCAAUGGGCGCGAGCCUGAACCAGCCAAGUCGCGUGAGGGAGGACGGCCCUACGGGUUGUAAACCUCUUUUGCCGGGGAGCAACGGGCGCCACGUGUGGCGCCACUGAGAGUACCCGGAGAAAAAGCAUCGGCUAACUCCGUGCCAGCAGCCGCGGUAAUACGGAGGAUGCGAGCGUUAUCCGGAUUUAUUGGGUUUAAAGGGUGCGUAGGCGGUUCGUUAAGUCAGUGGUCAAAUUGAGGGGCUCAACCCCUUCCCGCCAUUGAAACUGGCGUUCUUGAGUGGAAGAGAAGUAUGCGGAAUGCGUGGUGUAGCGGUGAAAUGCAUAGAUAUCACACAGAACACCGAUUGCGAAGGCAUCUCACGAAUCCGCGAUUGACGCUGAUGCACGAAAGCGUGGGUAUCAAACAGGAUUAGAUACCCUUGUAGUC
rnacentral:rRNA from 1 species